AAAUUGAAGAGUUUGAUCAUGGCUCAGAUUGAACGCUGGCGGCAGGCCUAACACAUGCAAGUCGAACGGUAACAGGAAACAGCUUGCUGUUUCGCUGACGAGUGGCGGACGGGUGAGUAAUGUCUGGGAA
rnacentral:rRNA from 1 species